UGAAAGUGAAGUCGCUCAGUCAUGUCUGACUCUCAGCGACCCCAUGGACUGCAGCCUACCAGGCUCCUCUGCCCGUGGGAUUUUCCAGGCAAGAGUACUGGAGUGGGGUGGCCUUCUCCGAUGAUGCAUUUUCCUUACUGCCAAAAAGACCCUGAGCACAUCAGGGGAAGCCAGCUGUCAUGUUUUGGGGACAUUAAUGCAUCCAAUGGAGUGGUUCUAUGUGGAGAAGAGAGCAACUGAAGAGUCUGGCAGCAACCAGUGAGGAAGCAAGAUCUGCCGCCAACCACAUGUGUGAACUUGGAACAGGAUCCUCUCCCAGUUGAGUCUUCUGAUGAGGCUCUGGACCCAGCUGUCUGAAACUGCAUGAGGCUGUGAGCCAGAACCAUCUAGUUAAGCUCUUUCCAGAUUCCUGACCUGCAGAAGCUAUGAGCUAACAUCUGUUGUCUUAACCUUCAUUUGUAUCUGCACUCCCAGAUUCAUUGCAGCAUUAUUCAUAAUAACAGAGAUGUGAAAACAAACCAAGUGUCCAUGACAGAUGGGUAGAUAAAGAAAAUGUAGUCUAUGCUAUGUACAAUGGAACAUUAUUCAGCUUUAAAAUCAAAGGAAAUUCUGCCAUUUGCAACAAUGUGGAUAAAUCGGAGGACAUUAUGCUAAGUGAAAUCAGCCAGUCACAGAUAGACAAAUACCUCCUGAUUCCACUUAUAUGAGAUACCUAUAGUAGUCAAACUCACAGAAGCCGAGAAUACAGUAGAGGUUACCAGGGACUGGGGGAUGGUGGAGAUGGCAAGUUGUUAUUCAGUGACUCACUUCACGGGAAAUAGAGGGGGAAACAGUGGAAACAGUGUCAGACUUUAUUUUUUGGGGCUCCAAAAUCACUGAAGAUGGUGACUGCAGCCAUGAAAUUAAAAGACACUUGCUCCU